GAGGGCCCAUGCCAGAACCUGACCAUGCUGGCACUCUGAUUUUGGAUUUCUAGUCUCUAGAACUGUGAAUAAGUAUGUUUCUAUUGCGUAAGCCACCCAGUCUAUGGUAUUUUAUUAUGGCAGCCUGAGCUGACUAAUAUAGGCUUCUAGAUUGGAAGGGGAAGGAAGUAAAGAGAGAGAAUUGAUAGGGAUAAAGAAGAGGCAUCAAGAGACUUGGGGUAUCCGCUACUGAAGACAUCAGCUCUCCAUGACAAAACAGCACAGCAUGUUCGGAGUAAGAGAAAGCUGAAGUCUCAACAAACAAAUAAAUUCUUAAUGUUCUAUACCACCAGAAAAACUGCAGCCCUUUUAUACAUGUGGAGUACUUUCUGGGCCAGUCCUGUGGCCCCUUUCAAAUGUAUGGUGUUGAAACGUAGUAAGUUUAUGUCUUUAAGGUCUGCCCCUCCCUUCUUGCAUUAUAUCAUAAACCCUUCUUUUUUUUUUUUUUUUUUUUUUUUCUGAGACGGGGUCCCGCUCUGUCACCCAGGCUGCCAGACUGGCGUACAGUGGUGCAAUCUCAGCUCACUGCAACCUGCACCUCCUGGGUUCAAGUGAUUUUCUUGUCUCUGCCUCCUGAGUAGCUGGGAUUACUGGCACACACCACCAUGCACUGGGAGACAUGAGACAUCAAUCAAUAUAUGUAAGCUGUACAUCAGUUUCGUCUGGAAAGAUGGGACAACAUGAAGCAGGGAGGGGGCUCCCAGGUCACAGUUCCUUGUUCAAAAUGCCAAGAACCUGGAUGACUCAGAGUCAAGACCCUCCACCAGUAACAUAUAUUGGCGAGCCAGCCAGGAGACCACUACAGGAAACACUCCAUUUAUUCCACCUGAAUUCCCACUUGGCUGCAUCCUCAACCAUUGAAAUGAAUUUGACCCUGAUAAUCUAAGGAGGAAACAUUUGAUAUUCUUUUGCAAUAAUACUUGGCCCCAGUAUUGUUUGGAAUCUGGAGUUUGCUGUUGAAUGGGAAAGUGGGAUGACGUUGCAUGUAUCCAGGCUUUGGUGCUGCUGUCCUAAGAAGGGUCAGGCCUGGUCAGCAUAUGGUGCUCUCCUUUGGUGCUAUUUGGCUCCAGUGUCUUCAGAGUCUGAGGAGGUUUGGCCUUUAAAAAUCAAACUGCCACUGAAACUACUUUAUCCAAAAUUUUAGUUCACAGCCUUCACUGGAUUACCUAUUGGGGCAAACAAAGUGUAACCAUGUAAAACCUGUGAGCUUGUAUUGAUAUCUCAUGGCUAGCGCUCCAAGGUAAAAGCUAUUGGAUCUCGUUUGUGUGUGUGUAUACAUGUCUAGAUGUGUUUAUUUGUAUGUACACUUAUUGUUAUAUGUUGUGUCAACCAAAUCAGCUUAUAAAUAAAAGAGCACUCAUAAAUUAAAUAAAUAA
rnacentral:antisense_RNA from 1 species